rnacentral:rRNA from 1 species
CGCCUGGGGAGUACGGGUGAGGUAACGGCUCACCAAGGCAUCGACGGGUAGCUGGUCUGAGAGGAUGAUCAGCCACACUGGGACUGAGACACGGCCCAGACUCCUACGGGAGGCAGCAGUAGGGAAUAUUGCACAAUGGGCGCAAGCCUGAUGCAGCAACGCCGCGUGAGGGAUGACGGCCUUCGGGUUGUAAACCUCUUUUAGCAGGGAAGAAGCGAAAGUGACGGUACCUGCAGAAAAAGCACCGGCUAACUACGUGCCAGCAGCCGCGGUAAUACGUAGGGUGCAAGCGUUGUCCGGAAUUAUUGGGCGUAAAGAGCUCGUAGGCGGUUUGUCACGUCUGCUGUGAAAAUCCAAGGCUCAACCUUGGACUUGCAGUGGGUACGGGCAGGCUAGAGUGCGGUAGGGGAGAUGGGAAUUCCUGGUGUAGCGGUGGAAUGCGCAGAUAUCAGGAGGAACACCAAUGGCGAAGGCACAUCUCUGGGCCGUAACUGACGCUGAGGAGCGAAAGCGUGGGGAGCGAACAGGAUUAGAUACCCUGGUAGUCCACGCCGUAAACGGUGGGUGCUAGCUGUGGGCCACAUUCCACGUGGUCCGUGACGAAGUUAACACAUUAAGCACCCCGCCUGGGGAGUACGG